AUUGAACGCUGGCGGCAGGCCUAACACAUGCAAGUCGAACGAAGUCUUCGGACUUAGUGGCGGACGGGUGAGUAACACGUGGGAACGUACCUUUUGGUUCAGAACAACUCAGGGAAACUUGAGCUAAUACCGGAUGAGCCCUUAGGGGGAAAGAUUUAUCGCCGAAAGAGCGGCCCGCGUUAGAUUAGCUAGUUGGUGAGGUAAAGGCUCACCAAGGCUACGAUCUAUAGCUGGUCUGAGAGGAUGAUCAGCCACACUGGGACUGAGACACGGCCCAGACUCCUACGGGAGGCAGCAGUGGGGAAUCUUGCGCAAUGGGCGAAAGCCUGACGCAGCCAUGCCGCGUGAAUGAUGAAGGUCUUAGGAUUGUAAAAUUCUUUUACCAGGGACGAUAAUGACGGUACCUGGAGAAAAAGCCCCGGCUAACUUCGUGCCAGCCGCCGCGGUAAUAC
rnacentral:rRNA from 1 species